rnacentral:rRNA from 1 species
GUGGGGAAUCUUCCGCAAUGGACGAAAGUCUGACGGAGCAACGCCGCGUGAGUGAUGAAGGUCUUCGGAUUGUAAAGCUCUGUUAAUCGGGACGAAAGAGCCUAGUGUGAAUAAUGCUAGGAAGUGACGGUACCGGAAUAGAAAGCCACGGCUAACUACGUGCCAGCAGCCGCGGUAAUACGUAGGUGGCAAGCGUUGUCCGGAAUUAUUGGGCGUAAAGCGCGCGCAGGCGGAUCUGCCAGUCUGUCUUAAAAGUUCGGGGCUUAACCCCGUGAUGGGAUGGAAACUACAGAUCUAGAGGAUCGGAGAGGAAAGUGGAAUUCCUAGUGUAGCGGUGAAAUGCGUAGAUAUUAGGAAGAACACCAGUGGCGAAGGCGACUUUCUGGACGAAAACUGACGCUGAGGCGCGAAAGCCAGGGGAGCGAACGGGAUUAGAAACCCCUGUAGUCC